UAAAAGUUGAAGAAACUGGAAUCUGAUAUUUACAAGUGAUGGCACCAAAAGAUGCUCAAGUAGAAUAGAGCUCUUCAAAACGUGCACCAACUUGCUCUUUCUCUUUUAUUCCAAGCUAGAAGCCUGUGGAUGGUGUCACUCCAGAUCACAGCAAGUUUUAGCCCUCAGUUUGCUGGCCAUUGUGCCAGUCAGUUAUUGACGGAAACACCCACAGACACAUCCAGAAAAAUGCUUUGCUAAUCUGCUAGGCAUGUCCACUCCGUUCAAAUUGAUAUAUUAUGAUUGAUAUCAUUUUACCACAGAAAAUCUAUCUACAGAGGAAAUGGAAUGAAAUCCAGUCAUUCUCCACAUGGAUUUUUAGCCAAACUUCAACAGCCACAUCCUCCUCCUACACCCAGAUUUCUCAUCUCAGCAAAUGAGCUGAAGGAAAAAUAACUGGACGUCUUUGUGUAAGCCACAGCCUGUGUGCGCUGUCUCCACUCCUUGAAAAUAGAUUCACAAAGAUCUCAAACACCC
rnacentral:lncRNA from 1 species